UGACGCAUUCUUCGGUGCAUGGACUUCACUGGAAAAUGGGGGGAAAAUUGGAUAAGAAAUAUUUGGAGUAAAAGAGAAUUAAAUACACACAAUAGCAGUCAAUUACAUGUUCUGAAUAGCACAACUCAACUAAUCGCUAAAACCAACUAGUAACAGAUGCACAUUUCUUUGAGAUUUUGAACCAUAACGUGAUCAAUAGUAUUUAAGUCAAAGCUUAAGACUUUCUUUCAAUAAAGCACAUGCUAAACACAUGGGCUAAUGACUACAGAUGUCUCAAGACUAAAACAAGAAAAAUGAAAGAAAAUUUUUUACCUCAAAACAUCAUUUGAGGGGGGAAAAUUCAGGAUAUCAACUUAUCUCUAGCCUUGAACAAAGUAAUACUACCACUCUACUUAUUUUAUUUCAGUUGCAUGAUGAUUGAUGAUAAGGAUCCUUUAUACUGAUAGCCCCCAAGGGCUAUGCCAACCUGCCCUCAAUACAACAUGUAGAAUAGAAUGAGAAACGUAACUCACAUAAGGUAUUUUUCUGAUCCACAGAAAAUUAGCACUUGGUAAUUUUCAGCUAAAAUAUAGUCUACUAGAAAUUCUUCACUAAACACAUCUGAGUAGAGAAGCACAGAACUGCAUGAAUAUAUAUAUAUAUAUAUAUGCAC
rnacentral:misc_RNA from 1 species